AUUGAACGCUGGCGGCAUGCUUUACACAUGCAAGUCGAACGGCAGCGCGGGCUUCGGCCUGGCGGCGAGUGGCGAACGGGUGAGUAAUACAUCGGAACGUGCCCAGUAGUGGGGGAUAGCUCGGCGAAAGCCGGAUUAAUACCGCAUACGACCUGAGGGUGAAAGCGGGGGAUCUUCGGACCUCGCGCUAUUGGAGCGGCCGAUGGCAGAUUAGCUAGUUGGUGGGGUAAAGGCCUACCAAGGCGACGAUCUGUAGCUGGUCUGCGAGGACGACCGGCCACACUGGGACUGAGACAGGGACCAGACUCCUACGGGAGGCAGCAGUGGGGAAUUUUGGACAAUGGGGGAAAGCCUGAUCCAGCAAUGCCGCGUGUGUGAUGAAGGCCUUCGGGUUGUAAAGCACUUUUGGCGGGAACGAAAAGGACUGUGCCAAUACCACGGUUCGAUGACGGUACCCGCAGAAUAAGCACCGGCUAACUACGUG
rnacentral:rRNA from 1 species